rnacentral:lncRNA from 1 species
ACUAUCUUAGGAGCCACUGGUUCCUGGAAGAGUUAUACUUAUUAUUGUAAAGCCUUUCUUUCUCUGAUUGGCCCUAUCUAUAGAUCCCUGUUCUGCUAAGCACCUGUCUGCUUUAGGUUCUGAAUUCACCCUAACUGAAAAUUAUCUAUCUCAAUGUCUUAAUAAGUAUCAAGGGAUUAUACUCCUUUUUUCCAUAGCCAGACAUAUUUAUACUUAUUUUAACAGAACUGUAUUGAACAUCUAUUAGGUAUAAAGAGAGCUUGCUAAAUAUAAAUGUUAGCUGCAAGCUUGAUAGCUUGUCUCUAUCCACUGAUAGAGACAGACAUGAAGAGUGCUAGCAUAAAGGAAUAAACCAAAUUUCAAGACAGAGAGAAUCAGACUGAGUGUGGACUGAGAAUGAAGUUGUUGACCUAAAGCCAGCCCUUACCUGGAUUAUUGCAAAAACUACGCAAGUGGUCUCCCGGCUUUGCUAUUAUUCUCUAGAGUCCAUUUUCCACUCCUCAGCCAGAGUUAUCCUUUUAAAAUGUAAGUUAGAUUAUGUCAGUUCUGUCAAAAGCACUCUGAGAGCUUUCCAUCUUAUUCAGAGAAACAUCCAAAGUCUUUGUGAUGACCUAAAAAACUCCUUACCUUGCUGAUUUCCUCUCCUACUAGCCUCCCCUUCACUCACUGUGCUCUUGGUCUUUUGGAUUUGUUACUGAGGUUCCUCAAACGAAGCACUAUGAUUUGAAUGCAUGUGUUUCUCCAAAAUUAAUGUGCUGGAACUUAAACCCUGAUAUGAUAGUAUUAAGAGGUGGGGUCUUUAGCAGCUGAUUAAGUCAUGAGGGCUCUGCCCUCAUGAAUGAGAUUAGUGCCCUUAUAUGAGGACCAGAGAGGAUUAGCUAGGCCCCUUUGCCCUUCUGUCCAUCCUACCAUGUAAGACACAGCUGUCUUUCCCUCAGGAGGAUGCAGCAACAAGGCACCAUCUUAGGAGCAGAGACCAGACCCUCACCAGACACUGAACCUGCCAAAACCUUGAUCUCGGACCUCCCAGACUCCAGCACUGCAAGAAGGGAUGUACCCAGGUUGACUCCUUUUCAUACUACAGAAGAAAAGAACCACUCAGCACAACUGCCAGUUCUCUUCAUUUGAGGAGGCAUUUUGUUCUGGGGCACCUCAUCUGAAAAGAUGUUAAAACUAGAGAGAGCCAGGUAUUUACACAGGAAAAAUAAGUCCUUAAUAUAUACUAUAUAAAAUAAAAUACUCAUGGAACAUUACUUCCCUGCAAGAGCUACUAUUGCAGCCUGGAUUCCUGUGAAUGUGCUUCACCAGUUCUCUUUAGACUCAGCAAGACCCUGAUCACAUGCUGAUCACACACACAGAGCCAGAUUCACACAAUUAAAGCUGUGAUUUGCUUUUGCUAGCAUCAGAACUUGGUAAGUCAAUGGUAGCAUUCGUUAAUGUAGUAUUUUAUAAGCAACAGUGAAUUACCCACAGUUA